rnacentral:lncRNA from 1 species
AAAUAGCCUAUUUUGGAUUUAACAGCUGUUGGGCCGUCACCUCGGAUUAUUUCAUCUUGUACUAAAGACCAGUAGUAGUCUGCUCCAACGAGAAGUGAAAUGGAAAACUGUUCAUCAUGCGUGACUGGGUGAGCAAGUUGUAAUCCUUGUAAAUAGGACAAGCUGUUGAUAUUUACCCGUUUCUUCAUAUGUAUCGGUGCGGCAAUUUUUGGAACAACUAUUACUUCCAUUGAAAUUCUGUCUUUUCUUUCUGUCUCAAUCGAUAUUGUCGCUUUCUCCAGGUUGCGAACCUCACCUUCUUUCCCGC